GCCUGUUCGAGCGUCAUUAUGACCACUCAAGCCUAGCUUGGUAUUGGGGCUCCGCGUGCUCGCGGCCCUUAAAAUCAGUGGCGGUGCGUCUGGCUCUAAGCGUAGUAAUUCUCUCGCUACAGAGUCCCGGCGGUUACUUGCCAUAACCCCAACUUUCUUAGGUUGACCUCGGAUCAGGUAGGGAUACCCGCUGAACUUAA
rnacentral:misc_RNA from 1 species